GUGUUGUACGAAAGGAGAGAAGGUUAGCACUCCCCUUCACAAGGAUGGAAGAACAGGUAGAUGUUCUAGAAUAGCAAAUCAUAAACCUUAAAGAACUGUUUUCUAAGAUACAAAUUUUU
rnacentral:ncRNA from 1 species